GUGUCCUUGGUGUAACGGUAACACACAUUCACAACGACCGAUUUCGAAUGCUCCGGGGUUCGACUCCCCGAGGAUGCC